rnacentral:tRNA from 1 species
GAAAUACUCAAUAAUAAGCUUCUAACUUAUUCAAAAGCGAUUUUCGUUUAUAUUUCU